UGGGCUGUAGCUCAGUGGUAGAGCACUUGCCUUGCAUGUGUGAGGCACUGGGUGCAAUCCUCAGCAUCACAA
rnacentral:tRNA from 1 species